UACGGGGGGGGUAAGCGUUGUUCGGAAUUACUGGGCGUAAAGGGCUCGUAGGCGGCCAACUAAGUCAGACGUGAAAUCCCUCAGCUUAACUGGGGAACUGCGUCUGAUACUGGAUGGCUUGGAUCCGGGAGAGGGAUGCGGAAUUCCAGGUGUAGCGGUGAAAUGCGUAGAUAUCAAGAGGAACACCUGCGGCGAAGGCGGGUUGCUGGGCCGACACUGACGCUGAGGCGCGAAAGCUAGGGGAGCGAACGGG
rnacentral:rRNA from 1 species